rnacentral:lncRNA from 1 species
ACAAUUAAAACUAUUAAUAUUCAAAAGUUUAAAAAUAAAUAAAAUAAUUUGAAAGAAAAGAAGAAGAAAAAGUUACACGGUGGAUCUGAGUUGUGAUAUGGUUUUGCGUCACAGCGGGAAUAUGUUCAGCAGUGGUCUUGGUGGUUUCGUCGGUGAGGGAGCAAGGAGAUUUGGUGCGUGUGGAGACGAAGAAGAUGUUGUUGUCGAUGAAUGGUAUUGAUGAACGGAGGACGGGAUGUGUUUUGGAUGGAGGUUGUGACGGUUUGAACGGAGGAGCACGGUGGUGUCGUGGUGUUUUCGGUUGUGGAAGAGCAGAUGGAGGCGGAUGAGAUGCUUUUAGGAGGCGGAGGAAACGAUUUUCGGCUGGAUUUAGAGAGGAAGAUGGAUGUGGUCUUGGUGUGUAGUGAGGAAGAAGAAUGUGUGGUUGUGUUUGUUGUUGUUGCUGUUGACGGUGGUUUUGUGUUGAGUGAGAGAGUUUCUUUUAAUUUUUCUUUUCUUUCUGUUUUCUAGAGAGAGUCUGUAUGUGGA